rnacentral:rRNA from 1 species
GAUGAACGCUGGCGGCGUGCCUAAUACAUGCAAGUCGAGCGAACAGAUGAGGAGCUUGCUCCUCUGACGUUAGCGGCGGACGGGUGAGUAACACGUGGAUAACCUACCUAUAAGACUGGGAUAACUUCGGGAAACCGGAGCUAAUACCGGAUAAUAUAUUGAACCGCAUGGUUCAAUAGUGAAAGACGGUUUUGCUGUCACUUAUAGAUGGAUCCGCGCCGCAUUAGCUAGUUGGUAAGGUAACGGCUUAACAAGGCAACGAUGCGUAGCCGACCUGAGAGGGUGAACGGCCAAACUGGAACUGAAACACGGUCCAGACUCCUACGGGAGGCAGCAGUAGGGAAACUUACGGAAUGGGCGAAAACCUGACGGAGCAACGCCGCGUGAGUGAUGAAGGUCUUCGGAUCGUAAAACUCUGUUAUUAGGGAAGAACAAAUGUGGAAGUAACUAUGCACGUCUUGACGGUACCUAAUCAGAAAGCCACGGCUAACUACGUG